rnacentral:rRNA from 1 species
AUUGAACGCUGGCGGCAGGCCUAACACAUGCAAGUCGAGCGGAUGAAGGGAGCUUGCUCCUGGAUUCAGCGGCGGACGGGUGAGUAAUGCCUAGGAAUCUGCCUGGUAGUGGGGGAUAACGUCCGGAAACGGGCGCUAAUACCGCAUACGUCCUGAGGGAGAAAGUGGGGGAUCUUCGGACCUCACGCUAUCAGAUGAGCCUAGGUCGGAUUAGCUAGUUGGUGGGGUAAAGGCCUACCAAGGCGACGAUCCGUAACUGGUCUGAGAGGAUGAUCAGUCACACUGGAACUGAGACACGGUCCAGACUCCUACGGGAGGCAGCAGUGGGGAAUCUUGGGCAAUGGGCGAAAGCCUGAUCCAGCCAUGCCGCGUGUGUGAAGAAGGUCUUCGGAUUGUAAAGCACUUUAAGUUGGGAGGAAGGGCAGUAAGUUAAUACCUUGCUGUUUUGACGUUACCAACAGAAUAAGCACCGGCUAACUACGUG